rnacentral:rRNA from 1 species
GACGAACGCUGGCGGCGUGCUUAACACAUGCAAGUCGAACGGAAAGGCCCUGCUUUUGUGGGGUGCUCGAGUGGCGAACGGGUGAGUAACACGUGAGUAACCUGCCCUUGACUUUGGGAUAACUUCAGGAAACUGGGGCUAAUACCGGAUAGGAGCUCCUGCUGCAUGGUGGGGGUUGGAAAGUUUCGGCGGUUGUGGAUGGACUCGCGGCUUAUCAGCUUGUUGGUGGGGUAGUGGCUUACCAAGGCUUUGACGGGUAGCCGGCCUGAGAGGGUGACCGGCCACAUUGGGACUGAGAGACGGACCAGACUCCAACGGGAGGCAGAAGUGGGGAAUAUUGCACAGCGGGCGGAAGCGUGAUGCAGCAACGCUGCGUGCGGGAUGACGGCCUUCGGGUUGUAAACCGCUUUCGAAUGUGACGAAGCGUGAGUGACGGUAAUGGGUAAAGAAGCACCGGCUAACUACGUG